rnacentral:rRNA from 1 species
AUUGAACGCUGGCGGCAGGCCUAACACAUGCAAGUCGAACGAGUGGCGGACGGGUGAGUAAUGUCUGGGAAACUGCCUGAUGGAGGGGGAUAACUACUGGAAACGGUAGCUAAUACCGCAUACCAUCAGAUGUGCCCAGAUGGGAUUAGCUAGUUGGUGGGGUAACGGCUCACCAAGGCGACGAUCCGUAGCGGGUCUGAGAGUACGACCAGCCACACUGGAACUAAGACACGGGCCAGAGUCCGACGUGAGGCAGCAGUGGGGAAUAUUGCACAAGGGGCGCAAACCUGAUGCAGCCAUGACGCGUGUAUGAUGAAGGCCUUCGGGUUGUAAAGUACUUUCUGCGGGGAGGCGUUACCCGCAGAAGAAGCACCGGCUAACUCCGUGCCAGCAGCCGCGGUAAUAC